UGAAAAUAAUUGUUUUGAAAGGGGAAGAAAAGAAAAAAAACACGCACCAAAAUUGUGUAAACAAUCGGUGCAAGUAGGCUGGAAUUCGAGGCUGGUUUCUCUCCAUCUUCUUGUUUUCGGUGAUCUUUCAUUUUUUUUCUUUUUUGUGCAUCUUCUCGCGUUGAAGGGUUUUUUUAUGUUGGUGUUGCAUGUUUCCGCUUGAAAAUUUUCGAAAGGAUUGUGUUAGAAAUGUGCGUUUACGGAAUGGCAAUGCAUGUGGCAUUCUUUGCUUCUGUUGCACGAGGAUGAUGCAAAUGUGACCUAUUUUNGUUAUUGUUGUUAAAAUUCUUGGCGACUUUUGGUUUUGGUAUAUUUUCGGGAUGGUUUGUGCGACUGGGCGUAGCUUUGUUUGAAAUAUAAACUUUGCGUGGUUCUGGAAUUUUNAAAAGAGAAAAAAGAAUGGAUCCGGGUCAGGACUCGAGACCCUGUGAAUCUAAUGGAUCUGGACAUGAAUCUCGUUUUUUUGGACCUAAUGGAUUUGGACCGGAUCCUGACCUAAGUAAAAAAAUACGGAUAUGGAUUUGGACCAAGCAGGAUUCGAUCCAGGUCCACAUCUGGAGUUGGUGAUGCUGCUGCAUGUCGGCGGUAAGCAGUCGACGAUCAAGAGAUUGAGCGCGUGCGAGCUGACAAAGUGUAAGUUGGAGCCGAUGAGUACGGGGGGCGGUUAAGUUGAUGCCGGAGGUGGGUUGCUGAAAUUAUAAAAAAAAAAUUAAGGUGCAGAUCCACCCCUGAAGUAGAGGGUGCAAUUAAACCCAAACGUUAACGGACACUUAACGGCGUUAGGUCAGAGGGGGGAAUUUGCACCAUUUUCUCGGAGUUCAGGGGUUUAGUUGCACACACAGUGAGUAAGAGGAGUUAUACGCUAUAGGGGCUACUACUUUGGGGGCCAAUCUGCACCUUUUCCCUUAAAAAUAAAAAGAUAAAAAAAUAGAAAAACAGAAGUUGCUAUUUACGGUAAGCCGACUUUGUUAUUAUAUAUAGAUGUUAUUAUAUAUAGAUAUAGAUAUAGAUUGUACGUAAGAAAAUAUUCUUAAAUAUAUAAUAUUAUAUUUUUUGUAAAAUUAUUAAUAAUUUAAUAUUUUAUUUAUAAAUUAUGUUUAAUAUUUAUAUUUAUUUAUUAAAAAUAUUAUUGCUUAAUUUUUGUAUUUACCGUGCAUCCCCGGAGGUCUAAUAGUUAACUAGUUAAAUCACAAUUUUCGGACUUUACUCCUUUGAUAAUUACUUUAAUUAAAAUAAACCAAUGAGAUUUUUACAAUAUUUUAUGCAAGCAAUAGAAAAAAAAAAACGAUUAAAAGAAAUGAGGAGUAGUAAAAGCUGUUACUGUGCUAGUAUUUGCUCACACUACUCCAGUGCUUAUUUGUGAGGGGACACACCAAAAUCGUGGAAAUAAUCGGUGCAAAUAGGCUGGAAUCGAGGCAGGUUUCUCUCAAUCUUCUUGUAUGGUGAUCUUUAAUUUUUGUUUUCUUUUUUGUGAAUCUUCUCGAGUUGAAGGGUUUUUGAUGUUGGUGUUGUAUGUUUCCGCUUGAAAGUUUUCGAAGGGAUUGUGUUUGGAAUGUGCGUUUAGGAAUGGCAAUGCAUGUCGCAUUCUUUGCUUCUGUUGCACGAGGAUGAUGAAAUUUGACCUUAUUUUGUUAUGGUUGUGAAAAUUAUUUUGGACUAUUGGUUUUGGUAUAUUUUGGGGAGUGGUUUGAGCGAUUGGGCGGGACUUUGUUUGAAAUAGUAGAACUUUUGCGUGGUUCUGGAAUUUGCGGUGCUCAUGUUAAU
rnacentral:lncRNA from 1 species